AUUGAACGCUGGCGGCAGGCCUAACACAUGCAAGACGAACGAGUGGCGGACGGGUGAGUAAUGUCUGGGAAACUGCCUGAUGGAGGGGGAUAACUACUGGAAACGGUAGCUAAUACCACAUACCAUCGGAUGUGCCCAGAUGGGAUUAGCUAGUAGGUGGGGUAAAGGCUCACACAGGCGACGAUCCCUCGCGGGUCGGUGAGGAUGACCAGCAGCACUGGAACGGAGGCACUGGCCAGACGCCUACGGGAGGAAGCAGGGGUGAAGAUGGGACUAUUGGCGCAAGUCUGAUGCAGUCAUGCCGCGUGGAUGAAGGGGGCCUUCGGGUUGUAAGGUUCUUUCAGCGGGGAGGCGGUACGCGCAGAAGAAGCACCGGCUAACUCCGUGCCAGCCGCCGCGGUAAUUC
rnacentral:rRNA from 1 species